rnacentral:rRNA from 1 species
AGGUAGCUUGCUACUGAUCUUAGCGGCGGACGGGUGAGUAAUGCUUAGGAAUCUGCCUAUUAGUGGGGGACAACAUUUCGAAAGGAAUGCUAAUACCGCAUACGUCCUACGGGAGAAAGCAGGGGAUCUUCGGACCUUGCGCUAAUAGAUGAGCCUAAGUCGGAUUAGCUAGUUGGUGGGGUAAAGGCCUACCAAGGCGACGAUCUGUAGCGGGUCUGAGAGGAUGAUCCGCCACACUGGGACUGAGACACGGCCCAGAUCCUACGGGAGGCAGCAGUGGGGAAUAUUGGCAAUGGGCGCAAGCCUGAUCCAGCCAUGCCGCGUGUGUGAAGAAGGCCUUAUGGUUGUAAAGCACUUUAAGCGAGGAGGAGGCUACUUUAGUUAAUACCUAGAGAUAGUGGACGUUACUCGCAGAAUAAGCACCGGCUAACUCUGUGCCAGCAGCCGCGGUAAUACAGAGGGUGCAAGCGUUAAUCGGAUUUACUGGGCGUAAAGCGCGCGUAGGCGGCUAAUUAAGUCAAAUGUGAAAUCCCCGAGCUUAACUUGGGAAUUGCAUUCGAUACUGGUUAGCUAGAGUGUGGGAGAGGAUGGUAGAAUUCCAGGUGUAGCGGUGAAAUGCGUAGAGAUCUGGAGGAAUACCGAUGGCGAAGGCAGCCAUCUGGCCUAACACUGACGCUGAGGUGCGAAAGCAUGGGGAGCAAACAGGAUUAGAUACCCUGGUAGUCCAUGCCGUAAACGAUGUCUACUAGCCGUUGGGGCCUUUGAGGCUUUAGUGGCGCAGCUAACGCGAUAAGUAGACCGCCUGGGGAGUACGGUCGCAAGACUAAAACUCAAAUGAAUUGACGGGGGCCCGCACAAGCGGUGGAGCAUGUGGUUUAAUUCGAUGCAACGCGAAGAACCUUACCUGGCCUUGACAUAGUAAGAACUUUCCAGAGAUGGAUUGGUGCCUUCGGGAACUUACAUACAGGUGCUGCAUGGCUGUCGUCAGCUCGUGUCGUGAGAUGUUGGGUUAAGUCCCGCAACGAGCGCAACCCUUUUCCUUAUUUGCCAGCGAGUAAUGUCGGGAACUUUAAGGAUACUGCCAGUGACAAACUGGNAGGAAGGCGGGGACGACGUCAAGUCAUCAUGGCCUUACGGCCAGGGCUACACACGUGCUACAAUGGUCGGUACAAAGGGUUGCUACCUAGCGAUAGGAUGCUAAUCUCAAAAAGCCGAUCGUAGUCCGGAUUGGAGUCUGCAACUCGACUCCAUGAAGUCGGAAUCGCUAGUAAUCGCGGAUCAGAAUGCCGCGGUGAAUACGUUCCCGGGCCUUGUACACACCGCCCGUCACACCAUGGGAGUUUGUUGCACCAGAAGUAGCUAGCCUAACUGCAAAGAGGGCGGU